AAGUCGAACGGAACUGUUUUGAAAGAUUUCUUCGGAAUGAAUUUGAUUUAGUUUAGUGGCGGACGGGUGAGUAACGCGUGAGUAACCUGCCUUCAAGAGGGGGAUAACAUUCUGAAAAGAAUGCUAAUACCGCAUGACAUAUCGGAAUCACAUGAUUUUGAUAUCAAAGAUUUUAUCGCUUGAAGAUGGACUCGCGUCCGAUUAGUUAGUUGGUGAGGUAACGGCUCACCAAGACCGCGAUCGGUAGCCGGACUGAGAGGUUGAACGGCCACAUUGGGACUGAGACACGGCCCAGACUCCUACGGGAGGCAGCAGUGGGGGAUAUUGCGCAAUGGGGGCAACCCUGACGCAGCAACGCCGCGUGAAGGAUGAAGGUUUUCGGAUUGUAAACUUCUUUUAUUAAGGACGAAACUUGACGGUACUUAAUGAAUAAGCUCCGGCUAACUACGUGCCAGCAGCCGCGGUAAUACGUAGGGAGCAAGCGUUGUCCGGAUUUACUGGGUGUAAAGGGUGCGUAGGCGGCUUUGCAAGUCAGAUGUGAAAUCUAUGGGCUCAACCCAUAAACUGCAUUUGAAACUGUAGAGCUUGAGUGAAGUAGAGGCAGGCGGAAUUCCCCGUGUAGCGGUGAAAUGCGUAGAGAUGGGGAGGAACACCAGUGGCGAAGGCGGCCUGCUGGGCUUUAACUGACGC
rnacentral:rRNA from 1 species